GAUGAACGCCGGCGGCGUGCCUAAUACAUGCAAGUCGAGCGAACAGACGAGGAGCUUGCUCCUCUGACGUUAGCGGCGGACGGGUGAGUAACACGUGGAUAACCUACCUAUAAGACUGGGAUAACUUCGGGAAACCGGAGCUAAUACCGGAUAACAUGUUGAACCGCAUGGUUCAACAGUGAAAGACGGUUUUGCUGUCACUUAUAGAUGGAUCCGCGCCGCAUUAGCUAGUUGGUAAGGUAACGGCUUACCAAGGCAACGAUGCGUAGCCGACCUGAGAGGGUGAUCGGCCACACUGGAACUGAGACACGGUCCAGACUCCUACGGGAGGCAGCAGUAGGGAAUCUUCCGCAAUGGGCGAAAGCCUGACGGAGCAACGCCGCGUGAGUGAAGAAGGUCUUCGGAUCGUAAAACUCUGUUAUUAGGGAAGAACAAAUGUGUAAGUAACUAUGCACGUCUUGACGGUACCUAAUCAGAAAGCCACGGCUAACUACGUG
rnacentral:rRNA from 1 species